rnacentral:misc_RNA from 1 species
AACGCACAUUGCGCCCCCUGGUACUCCGGGGGGCAUGUCUGUCCGAGCGUCAUUGCAACCCUCAAGCACGGCUUGUGUGUUGGGCCCGCGUCCCCUGUGGACGGGCCUGAAAGGCAGUGGCGGCGUCGGGUUCCGGUGCCUAAGCGUAUGGGGCUCUGUCACCCGCUUGGAGGCCCGGCCGGCGCCCGCCGUUCACACCUCAACUAUUUUCCAGGUUGACCUCGGAUCAGAUAGGGAUACCCGCUGAACUUAA